AGCAGCCGCGGUAAUUCCAGCUCCAAUAGCGUAUAUUAAAGUUGUUGCAGUUAAAAAGCUCGUAGUUGAAUUUCGGGGUUAGUAGGUUGGUCAUGCCUCUGGCAUGUACUGGUCUCACUGAUUCCUCCUUCCUGAUGAGCCGUAAUGCCAUUAAUUUGGUGUUGCGGGGAAUUUGGACUGUUACUUUGAAAAAAUUAGAGUGUUUAAAGCAAGCUAACGCUUGAAUACAUUAGCAUGGAAUAAUGAAAUAGGACGUUCGAUCCUAUUUUGUUGGUUUCUAGGAUUGACGUAAUGAUUAAUAGGGAUAGUUGGGGGCAUUAGUAUUCAAUUGUCAGAGGUGAAAUUCUUGGAUUUAUUGAAGACUAACUACUGCGAAAGCAUUUGCCAAGGAUGUUUUCAUUAAUCAAGAACGAAAGUUAGGGGAUCGAAGACGAUCAGAUACCGUCGUAGUCUUAACCAUAAACUAUGCCGACUAGGGAUCGGAUGAUGUUAAUUUUUAAUGACUCAUUCGGCGCCUUAA
rnacentral:rRNA from 1 species